AACGAACGCUGGCGGCGCGCCUAAUACAUGCAAGUCGAGCGAGAAGGUGUAGCAAUACACUUGUAAAGCGGCGAACGGGUGAGGAAUACAUGGGUGACCUACCCUCGAGUGGGGAAUAACUAGCCGAAAGGUUAGCUAAUACCGCAUACGAUUCCCGGAUUACGGUUCGGGGAGGAAAGCGAUACCGUGGGUAUCGCGCUCAUGGAUGGGCUCAUGUCCUAUCAGCUUGUUGGNGAGGUAACGGCUCACCAAGGCUUCGACGGGUAGCUGGUCUGAGAGGACGAUCAGCCACACUGGCACUGCGACACGGGCCAGACUCCUACGGGAGGCAGCAGUAAGGAAUAUUGCGCAAUGGGCGAAAGCCUGACGC
rnacentral:rRNA from 1 species